UGUGAGCUCGAUGAGUAGGGCGGGACACGUGGUAUCCUGUCUGAAUAUGGGGGGACCAUCCUCCAAGGCUAAAUACUCCUGACUGACCGAUAGUGAACCAGUACCGUGAGGGAAAGGCGAAAAGAACCCCGGCGAGGGGAGUGAAAAAGAACCUGAAACCGUGUACGUACAAGCAGUGGGAGCCUCUUUUAUGGGGUGACUGCGUACCUUUUGUAUAAUGGGUCAGCGACUUAUAUUCUGUAGCAAGGUUAACCGAAUAGGGGAGCCGAAGGGAAACCGAGUCUUAACUGGGCGUUAAGUUGCAGGGUAUAGACCCGAAACCCGGUGAUCUAGCCAUGGGCAGGUUGAAGGUUGGGUAACACUAACUGGAGGACCGAACCGACUAAUGUUGAAAAAUUAGCGGAUGACUUGUGGCUGGGGGUGAAAGGCCAAUCAAACCGGGAGAUAGCUGGUUCUCCCCGAAAGCUAUUUAGGUAGCGCCUCGUGAAUUCAUCUCCGGGGGUAGAGCACUGUUUCGGCAAGGGGGUCAUCCCGACUUACCAACCCGAUGCAAACUGCGAAUACCGGAGAAUGUUAUCACGGGAGACACACGGCGGGUGCUAACGUCCGUCGUGAAGAGGGAAACAACCCAGACCGCCAGCUAAGGUCCCAAAGUCAUGGUUAAGUGGGAAACGAUGUGGGAAGGCCCAGACAGCCAGGAUGUUGGCUUAGAAGCAGCCAUCAUUUAAAGAAAGCGUAAUAGCUCACUGGUCGAGUCGGCCUGCGCGGAAGAUGUAACGGGGCUAAACCAUGCACCGAAGCUGCGGCAGCGACACUAUGUGUUGUUGGGUAGGGGAGCGUUCUGUAAGCCUGUGAAGGUGUGCUGUGAGGCAUGCUGGAGGUAUCAGAAGUGCGAAUGCUGACAUAAGUAACGAUAAAGCGGGUGAAAAGCCCGCUCGCCGGAAGACCAAGGGUUCCUGUCCAACGUUAAUCGGGGCAGGGUGAGUCGACCCCUAAGGCGAGGCCGAAAGGCGUAGUCGAUGGGAAACAGGUUAAUAUUCCUGUACUUGGUGUUACUGCGAAGGGGGGACGGAGAAGGCUAUGUUGGCCGGGCGACGGUUGUCCCGGUUUAAGCGUGUAGGCUGGUUUUCCAGGCAAAUCCGGAAAAUCAAGGCUGAGGCGUGAUGACGAGGCACUACGGUGCUGAAGCAACAAAUGCCCUGCUUCCAGGAAAAGCCUCUAAGCAUCAGGUAACAUCAAAUCGUACCCCAAACCGACACAGGUGGUCAGGUAGAGAAUACCAAGGCGCUUGAGAGAACUCGGGUGAAGGAACUAGGCAAAAUGGUGCCGUAACUUCGGGAGAAGGCACGCUGAUAUGUAGGUGAAGCGACUUGCUCGUGGAGCUGAAAUCAGUCGAAGAUACCAGCUGGCUGCAACUGUUUAUUAAAAACACAGCACUGUGCAAACACGAAAGUGGACGUAUACGGUGUGACGCCUGCCCGGUGCCGGAAGGUUAAUUGAUGGGGUUAGCGCAAGCGAAGCUCUUGAUCGAAGCCCCGGUAAACGGCGGCCGUAACUAUAACGGUCCUAAGGUAGCGAAAUUCCUUGUCGGGUAAGUUCCGACCUGCACGAAUGGCGUAAUGAUGGCCAGGCUGUCUCCACCCGAGACUCAGUGAAAUUGAACUCGCUGUGAAGAUGCAGUGUACCCGCGGCAAGACGGAAAGACCCCGUGAACCUUUACUAUAGCUUGACACUGAACAUUGAGCCUUGAUGUGUAGGAUAGGUGGGAGGCUU
rnacentral:rRNA from 1 species